CUACGGGCGGCACCAGUAAGGAAUAUUGCGCAAUGGAGGCAACUCUGACGCAGCCAUGCCGUGUGCAGGAAGAAGGCCUUAUGGGUCGUAAACUGCUUUUAUUUAGGAAUAACCCCCUGCUCGUGAGCAGGGCUGAAGGUACUAAAAGAAUAAGCACCGGCUAACUCCGUGCCAGCAGCCGCGGUAAUACGGAGGGUGCAAGCGUUAUCCGGAUUUAUUGGGUUUAAAGGGUGCGCAGGCGGGCUAUUAAGUCAGUGGUGAAAUCCCGGGGCUCAACUCCGGAACUGCCAUUGAUACUGAUAGUCUUGAGUUUGGUUGAAGUGGGCGGAAUGUAGCAUGUAGCGGUGAAAUGCAUAGAUAUGCUACAGAACACCAAUCGCGAAGGCAGCUCACUAAGCCAAAACUGACGCUCAUGCACGAAAGCGUGGGGAGCAAACAGGAUUAGAUACCCCGGUAGUC
rnacentral:rRNA from 1 species